rnacentral:lncRNA from 1 species
UCUGUAAUGCAUGUACCCAGCGUAGACGACUGACUGUUCAAGGAACUGAAGCAGGGGACAGCUUGCUGUGAAAGAUGGGAGCAUUCUUCCUCUGGUCUGGACAAGCCCAUAUUAAGUGGGAGAUGUUCAAUAUCAACCCGAUGCGAGGCAGCAAAUGUGGAAAUGGACGCAAGUCAAGGACAGCUGCAGACAGCAAGAUAAUGAAACUGAUACAGCGAUUGCACUGAAUCACUGAAGAUAUGAGCCGGAAUGCGAACAGUAUACUCCUACAGUUUGGCAGAAUAAACCCCAUCUUUAUGCGUUCAGAGCAGCUGGAUGUUCACUGUUUACUUGGCAAGAAGUAGUAUGUAUGCAUGCUUCC